AACGAACGCUGGCGGCAGGCCUAACACAUGCAAGUCGAGCGAGGACUUCGGUUCUAGCGGCGGACGGGUGAGUAACGCGUGGGAAUGUGCCCUUCUCUACGGAAUAGCCCUGGGAAACUGGGAGUAAUACCGUAUACGCCCUAUUGGGGAAAGAUUUAUCGGAGAAGGAUCAGCCCGCGUUGGAUUAGGUAGUUGGUGGGGUAAUGGCCUACCAAGCCGACGAUCCAUAGCUGGUUUGAGAGGAUGAUCAGCCACACUGGGACUGAGACACGGCCCAGACUCCUACGGGACGCAGCAGUGGGGAAUCUUAGACAAUGGGGGCAAACCUGAUCUAGCCAUGCCGCGUGAGAGAUGAAGGCCUUAGGGUUGUAAAGCUCUUUCAGCUGGGAAGAUAAUGACGGUACCAGCAGAAGAAGCCCCGGCUAACUCCGUG
rnacentral:rRNA from 1 species